rnacentral:lncRNA from 1 species
AUGAGAAAUCUGGGAGCUUUUAUUUCAUCUGAAUGUGUUUGCUUAUUGUUCAUGUCCACCAAUACUGGAAAUGGGAAUAAACAUAAACAGCACAAACAGCAAGCACUUCCUUGUCUUCAUGUUCAUCUGUCUUGUAGGUACUUAGCUGUUUCUGCUGGACUGUGGACUCCCUGGAAUGUAGCAACGUCCUGUGAAGGUGAUAGCCAGUUGUUAGAAGUUUCAGGUUAUUGAUCUCUGAACAAGCAGUAUUUUGCAGAAGACAAGAUUCCUACAAGCCAGAGUUCAGCUGAACUGUUUCAACUGCCAAUACAGGAUAAUUUGUCCCACCAAAUCUCACCAGAUGCUAUUUCUCAAUGAGUAGGUAUCAUAUUCCUUCAUAUUUUUGACUGCUGAAUGUGGCAACGUGUGAUCAGCUGUUCUGCUUUGCUUUCAUAGAAUCACAAGGUUGGAAAGGAUCUACAAGAUCAUCCAGUCCAACCAUCAUCUCAUUACUGUUGCUACCACAAGAUGCUAAGCCAUAUCUCAGGGCUCCUCAUCCAAAUGCCUUUUGAUCAUUGCCAGGGACAAUGGCUCCACUACCUUCCAUUCCUAACUUUUGUGAUAAUUUCCAAGUAGUAUGACUAUAUGUGAAAGAUCACAAAAGUCUACAUUACAGAAUCAUUAAGGUUGGAAAGGAUCAUUAAGUUCAUCAGGUCCAACCCAUCCCCACUGUGCCCCUCAAUGCCACAUCUCCAAAGUUCUUGAUUGCCUCCAGGUCACUACUCCACCAGCUCCACCUGUGCCAGUUCAUAUUCACCUUUCUUGAGAAGAAAUUUUUGUUAAUAUCCAAAUAAUGUGCAAAAUGCUGCUCUUUCAACUUGAAAAUCACCACAAUAUUAAUUCAUUGCUUCAUUCCUUCCUGCUACCUCCAGCCCUUAGCCAGGGGACACACAAGAAAUAACCAGUCUCUCCAGAGACUGCCAUACACCCUAGAAUAGAAAACAGCUACUGCAGUUUCUGUGAAAUUAAGCCAAAAAAGAGUAGCAAGUUAUAUACUCAUUUAUCCAACUUAAAAAACAAAACAAAAAAAAAAAAAAAAAGGUGUAUAAAAGUAAGUUACUUGAAGUUACUCUAAACAAAAGAAACAAAAAUUUAGAAUCGCUUCCUCUUGGAUUGAUGCGUUUGAACUUUUG